GCAGUCGCCGCGGUAAUACAGAGGGUGCGAGCGUUAAUCGGAUUUACUGGGCGUAAAGCGUGCGUAGGCGGCUUUUUAAGUCGGAUGUGAAAUCCCUGAGCUUAACUUAGGAAUUGCAUUCGAUACUGGGAAGCUAGAGUAUGGGAGAGGAUGGUAGAAUUCCAGGUGUAGCGGUGAAAUGCGUAGAGAUCUGGAGGAAUACCGAUGGCGAAGGCAGCCAUCUGGCCUAAUACUGACGCUGAGGUACGAAAGCAUGGGGAGCAAACAGGAUUAGAUACCCGAGUAGUCCCUGUCUCUUAUAC
rnacentral:rRNA from 1 species